rnacentral:rRNA from 1 species
CCUUGGUGGGGGACAACCGUGGGAAACUACGGCUAAUACCGCAUGAUCCCUGAGGGGCAAAGGCGAAAGUCGCCUGAGGAGGAGCCUGCGUCUGAUUAGGUAGUUGGUGGGGUAAAGGCCUACCAAGCCUGCGAUCAGUAGCUGGUCUGAGAGGAUGAUCAGCCACACUGGGACUGAGACACGGCCCAGACUCCUACGGGAGGCAGCAGUGGGGAAUAUUGGACAAUGGGCGCAAGCCUGAUCCAGCAAUGCCGCGUGGAUGAAGAAGGUCUUCGGAUUGUAAAGUCCUUUUGGCAGGGACGAUGAUGACGGUACCUGCAGAAUAAGCUCCGGCUAACUUCGUG